GUAGUAUUCCCUCCGUCCCAAAAUUCUUGUCAUCCAUUUGUUUAGAUACGGAUGUAUCUAACACUAAAAUGUAACUAGAUACAUCCGUAUUUAGACAAAUUUAAGACAAGAAUUUUGGGAUGGAAUGAGUACAAA
rfam:Triticum aestivum genome assembly, contig: Triticum_aestivum_CS42_TGACv1_scaffold_516588_6BS